rnacentral:misc_RNA from 1 species
AGAAAGAAAAAAAAAAAAAAAAUUCUCUCUCUCUCUAAACUAAUCCUGUGCUUUCAAUUUGCAAUGCAAACGAUCCCUCCCUCUCCAAGUCUAGAACUUAAAACUUUUAAACUAAUCAUGUGCUCUCAAUUUUCAAUCUUCUCUCCCUCCCCAAAUCUAGAACUAAAAACUUCUAAACUAAUUAUGUGCUCUCAAUUUGCAAUGCAAAUAUUUAUGAUUAUCUCAUACGAUAUUUUAAUUAUUUCCUCUAUCAUAAAAUACUACCUCCAAAGUUUUUACAAUUUUAGUAUCAUUUAAUGGGAUUGUAACUUUAUAUCAAUCAUUCUGUUGUCAUUUGAACCUCUGACUCUCAAACCUCUCCCUCAUCUGACAUUAUGACCAAACAAGUGCAGAAGACACUGUUCAUAACUAAGUAUCCUAAACAUGAAGAGGCAGCAGUUAUUAUAAAAGAUAAAUCUAACCACACGAGGUUCCUAGAUAUGAUUACCAUUUAAAAUUUUAAAUUAAAUAAACAUUCCAUAAACCUUUUUAUUUCAGCAUCAAUAACAUCACUACCUCAUCUACACUGGAUUUUUUCACAACUGUUGUUAAUUCCUCUCAGAGGCUUGGUCACAACAAAAUUGAUGUUACGAAGAUACCAAGAAGAAAGCAUUCAGUAGUAGGUAAAAUGAACAGCAGGGUAAAAUCUUGGCAUUUUCAGUGGCAGCAAAAUAAAGAAUGAUAUUCUUCUCUAUCACCUGCCAACAAAGGGGAAAAGACAUACCUGCAUCUGCACAAGUAGUUCUGUCUUGAUACGUCUUGAAGCUUCACUCUCAUUACCUUCACCACGCUGGCCACACAAGGAAUCUAUCUCAUCAAUAAAAAUAAUUGAAGGAGCACU